rnacentral:lncRNA from 1 species
UGGUAUCCACUCGUCAAUGUAAGUGCCCCCGGGGCAUUUUCCUCAUCUCGGUUGAGUGCAGCAGUGUUGAUAAAUUUCUUGCUGAAGGAAAACAUGCCAUGGCUAGGAUUCGAACCCACGACCCUCUGUUUGAAAGGCGAGUCAGAACCACUAGACCAUGACGUGCACACACAAACUCACACAAACUUAUCCCAUGACAAACUCAGAGCAGACACAAUAUACAUGAAAAAAUAAAGUAAUAUUUAUUCUAAAAUUCAUUCCCAUGUGUAUAAAAGUUCCACAAUAAUUACAUUCAGUAUUCACAAGUCAUUAUUAUUGGAACAUUUGUAUUUACAAUCAAAGCUGCUUUAGAGAUCAUCUGUCUACAAUAUCUUAUUGACUCUAUAAGAUUGAAAUUCAAAUUCAACUUCAUUACUACAAUUUAAAAAUAUACAAAUAUACAAAAUAAUUUACAAAAAUAGGAAUUAUACUUGUGGAGGGGUCAAAUUCAGCAUAACUGCUUCUAUAAAUUGAAUCCAUAAUAAAUAUCAAAUCAAUACGUGUAAAAAAAUUUACACCAAAGGUAACAAUAUGAACAUACAAACUGAAAGACGACAUAUUUUUAUCAUUUGUAUUUUAUGGUUUAUUAUUGAGCUACACAGCUGAAACCCCUGCUGGUGAUACACUUAUUUCUUUUAUUCUUUUUUACUAUAUCCCUUUCUCCAUUUUGGUUUACUAGUGCUUGAAAAAAUACAGGGGAGCUACCCUUUGAAGCACCGUCCUUGAUAAUAAGUGUGUAUCCUUGUAUAUCAUUGAAACAUGUAUUACAAGACCCUGUUCAUAUAAAGACUAUCCUAUUACAAAGACUACUUCUCUCUAUUGUUUGAUAUCUAUAUACAGGUUUUACUGUACCAUGAUACUGUAUAUCAUUGAAACAUGUAUUACAAGACCCUGUUCAUAUAAAGACUAUCCCAUUACAAAGACUACUUCUCUAUAUUGUUUGAUAUCUAUAUACAGGUUUUACUGUACCAUGAUACUGUAUAUCAUUGAAACAUGUAUUACAAGACCCUGUUCAUAUAAAGACUAUCCUAUUACAAAGACUACUUCUCUCUAUUGUUUGAUAUCUAUAUACAGGUUUUACUGUACCAUGAUACUGUAUAUCAUUGAAACAUGUAUUACAAGACCCUGUUCAUAUAAAGACUACUUCUCUCUAUUGUUUGAUAUCUAUAUACAGGUUUUACUGUACCAUGAUACUGUAUAUCAUUGAAACAUGUAUUACAAGACCCUGUUCAUAUAAAGACUAUCCUAUUAUAAAGACUACUUCUCUCUAUUGUUUGAUAUCUAUAUACAGGUUUUACUGUACCAUGAUACUGUAUAUCAUUGAAACAUGUAU